AAACGUGCUCCGGGGUCGGUGAAAGUCCGAACCGGCGGUGACAGUCCGCGAGCGGGGCUGCGUGAGAGCGCAGCACUGUUGAGCCGGUGAAAUUCCGGCACCGACGGUAAUGGGGUCAGGCAACGCCUGGCAACUCAGUCCGGAUGGGAGGCAGCACGGGU
rnacentral:ncRNA from 2 species